GGGGAAUAUUGGGCAAUGGGCGAAAGCCUGACCCAGCAACGCCGCGUGAGGGAAGAAGGGUUUCGGCUCGUAAACCUCUGUCCUAUGGGACGAAGGAAGUGACGGUACCAUAGGAGGAAGCCCCGGCUAACUACGUGCCAGCAGCCGCGGUAAUACGUAGGUGGCGAGCGUUAUCCGGAAUUAUUGGGCGUAAAGAGGGAGCAGGCGGCACUAAGGGUCUGUGGUGAAAGAUCGAAGCUUAACUUCGGUAAGCCAUGGAAACCGUAGAGCUAGAGUGUGUGAGAGGAUCGUGGAAUUCCAUGUGUAGCGGUGAAAUGCGUAGAUAUAUGGAGGAACACCAGUGGCGAAGGCGACGAUCUGGCGCAUAACUGACGCUCAGUCCCGAAAGCGUGGGGAGCAAAUAGGAUUAGAUACCCUAGUAGUCCACGCCGUAAACGAUGAGUACUAAGUGUUGGGUGUCAAAGCUCAGUGCUGCAGUUAACGCAAUAAGUACUCCGCCUGAGUAGUACGUUCGCAAGAAUGAAACUCAAAGGAAUUGACGGGGGCCCGCACAAGCGGUGGAGCAUGUGGUUUAAUUCGAAGCAACGCGAAGAACCUUACCAGGUCUUGACAUCGAUCUAAAGGCUCCAGAGAUGGAGAGAUAGCUAUAGAGAAGACAGGUGGUGCAUGGUUGUCGUCAGCUCGUGUCGUGAGAUGUUGGGUUAAGUCCCGCAACGAGCGCAACCCCUGUUGCCAGUUGCCAGCAUUAAGUUGGGGACUCUGGCGAGACUGCCGGUGACAAGCCGGAGGAAGGCGGGGAUGACGUCAAAUCAUCAUGCCCCUUAUGACCUGGGCUACACACGUGCUACAAUGGACAGAGCAGAGGGAAGCGAAGCCGCGAGGUGGAGCGAAACCCAUAAAACUGUUCUCAGUUCGGACUGCAGUCUGCAACUCGACUGCACGAAGAUGGAAUCGCUAGUAAUCGCGAAUCAGCAUGUCGCGGUGAAUACGUUCUCG
rnacentral:rRNA from 1 species